UGAAGAGGUACACCUAAUUGCCAUUAGAAUA
rnacentral:piRNA from 1 species